UACGUAGGGCGCAAGCGUUGUCCGGAAUUAUUGGGCGUAAAGAGCUCGUAGGCGGCCUGUUACGUCUGCUGUGAAAUCCCGGGGCUUAACCCCGGGCGUGCAGUGGAUACGGGCAGGCUGGAGGCAGGCAGGGGAGAACGGAAUUCCCGGUGUAGCGGUGAAAUGCGCAGAGUAUCGGGAGGAACACCGGUGGCGAAGGCGGUUCUCUGGGCCUGUACUGACGCUGAGGAGCGAAAGCGUGGGGAGCGAACAGGG
rnacentral:rRNA from 1 species